rnacentral:lncRNA from 1 species
AUCCAUGCACUCUCUUAUGAUCAAAUGUUUAAUCUGUUGCAUGAUGUUUAUUUAUAUAAUUAGCUCACCCUUGCCUUGUUUUUGUGUAUGUUGUAUGUUUCUCUUUUGCGAUGAUCAUCCUUGUUGGAUGUGAGCAGAUGAGCAUGAGCCCACUUUGGAGGAUGUUUUGGAAGACCAAGACAACACUGAUGCCGCAGCUUAGUUUUUUUUAGGGAUUUAUAAUUUGUUGACCUUCUAGUUGAACAUAUGUAUCUAUUUUGAAAAACUCUAGCAUUUUUCCCAUGUGUUUUGUUUAUUUAAUUUCCUCUAGAUUUCGGGACUACUG